rnacentral:misc_RNA from 1 species
GAUGAAGAACGUAGUGAAAUGCGAUACGUAAUGUGAAUUGCAGAAUUCAGUGAAUCAUCGAAUCUUUGAACGCACAUUGCGCCCGCCAGCACUCUGGCGGGCAUGCCUGUUCGAGCGUCAUUUCAACCCUCAGAACCCCUUUGGGGGAUCUGGCGUUGGGGAUCGGCAGUCCUGCCGGCCCCGAAAUAUAGUGGCGGUCUCUCUGUGACCUUCCCUGUGUAGUAGCGAUACCUCGCAGCGGGAUAGCAGUUUGGCCACGCCGUAAAACACCCAACUUCUCAAGGUUGACCUCGAAUCAGGUAGGAAUACCCGCUGAACUUAAGCAUAUCAAUAAGCGGAGGA